rnacentral:rRNA from 1 species
AUUGAACGCUGGCGGCAGGCCUAACACAUGCAAGUCGAGCGGAUGAAGGGAGCUUGCUCCUGGAUUCAGCGGCGGACGGGUGAGUAAUGCCUAGGAAUCUGCCUGGUCGUGGGGGCUAACGUCCGGAAACGGGCGCUAAUACCGCAUACGUCCUGAGGGAGAAAGUGGGGGAUCUUCGGACCUCACGCUAUCAGAUGAGCCUAGGUCGGAUUAGCUAGUUGGUGGGGUAAAGGCCUACCAAGGCGACGAUCCGUAACUGGUCUGAGAGGAUGAUCAGUCACACUGGAACUGAGACACGGUCCAGACUCCUACGGGAGGCAGCAGUGGGGAAUAUUGGACAAUGGGCGAAAGCCUGAUCCAGCCAUGCCGCGUGUGUGAAGAAGGUCUUCGGAUUGUAAAGCACUUUAAGUUGGGAGGAAGGGCAGUAGGUUAAUACCUUGCUGUUUUGACGUUACCAACAGAAUAAGCACCGGCUAACUUCGUG